rnacentral:snRNA from 1 species
UAGCUUGAGCAGUGGCAGUAUCAUAGCCAAUGAGGUUUAUCCGAAGUGCGAUUAUUGCUAAUUGAAAAAUAACCUUUCCUAUUCAAUCAAGAGCUUCUAAGUUCUAUAUAAACUGGUAUGUGAUAGGUCAC